AAGAAAAAUUGAUGAAUCGAGAAAAAGAAAGAAAAAUAAAAAUCAAAUAAUCGAUGAUUCAAAAGAAAAAGCACGGAAAAGGGCAGUCGGUAAAAAUUCAAGAAAUAAGAAAAGAAAACCGAGGAAAUAAAAGAAACAAACACAGUAUGUAACAUCGACUCUGAACCAAAAGCCCCUUGUUUUCCUUUUUAAUCCAUACCCUGACCCAAGUCAAGCUACAACCCUAAAGACCUCAAAAGUGUGUGUGUUAUGUAUAAGUGAUGAGAAAAGAGAGAUUAUUCAAACUUGUGAGUGAUAUUGCAUACUUUGAAUUAUGAGUGUAAACAGCUUACCCCGAGAGAAUUGGUGAGAAUGUGAAAUAAGCUGACAGGUGAAAUGGUGCUUUAAAGUGGAAGUAUGAAUGAUGACUUACGAGGAUGGGUAGGACUUGUGUCAGGAGAAACAGUAGGCUGACACGGCCACCCGUGUCAGCUGACACGGGCCGUGUCAGCCCA
rnacentral:lncRNA from 1 species